GGGUUGUGAGGUUAAGCGACUAAGCGUACACGGUGGAUGCCCUGGCAGUCAGAGGCGAUGAAGGGCGUGCUAAUCUGCGAUAAGCGCCGGUAAGGUGAUAUGAACCGUUAUAACCGGCGAUACCCGAAUGGGGAAACCCAGUGUGAUUCGUCACACUAUCAUUAACUGAAUCCAUAGGUUAAUGAGGCGAACCGGGGGAACUGAAACAUCUAAGUACCCCGAGGAAAAGAAAUCAACCGAGAUUCCCCCAGUAGCGGCGAGCGAACGGGGAGGAGCCCAGAGCCUGAAUCAGCAUGUGUGUUAGUGGAAGCGUCUGGAAAGGUGCGCGAUACAGGGUGACAGCCCCGUACACAAAAGCGCAUGUGCUGUGAGCUCGAUGAGUAGGGCGGGACACGUGGUAUCCUGUCUGAAUAUGGGGGGACCAUCCUCCAAGGCUAAAUACUCCUGACUGACCGAUAGUGAACCAGUACCGUGAGGGAAAGGCGAAAAGAACCCCGGCGAGGGGAGUGAAAAAGAACCUGAAACCGUGUACGUACAAGCAGUGGGAGCACAGGUUUACCUGUGUGACUGCGUACCUUUUGUAUAAUGGGUCAGCGACUUAUAUUCUGUAGCAAGGUUAACCGUAUAGGGGAGCCGUAGGGAAACCGAGUCUUAACCGGGCGUUAAGUUGCAGGGUAUAGACCCGAAACCCGGUGAUCUAGCCAUGGGCAGGUUGAAGGUUGGGUAACACUAACUGGAGGACCGAACCGACUAAUGUUGAAAAAUUAGCGGAUGACCUGUGGCUGGGGUGAAAGGCCAAUCAAACCGGGAGAUAGCUGGUUCUCCCCGAAAGCUAUUUAGGUAGCGCCUCGUGAAUUCAUCUCCGGGGUAGAGCACUGUUUCGGCUAGGGGCCAUCCCGGCUUACCAACCCGAUGCAAACUGCGAAUACCGGAGAAUGUUAUCACGGGAGACACACGGCGGGUGCUAACGUCCGUCGUGAAGAGGGAAACAACCCAGACCGCCAGCUAAGGUCCCAAAGUCAUGGUUAAGUGGGAAACGAUGUGGGAAGGCCCAGACAGCCGUGAUGUUGGCUUAGAAGCAGCCAUCAUUUAAAGAAAGCGUAAUAGCUCACUGGUCGAGUCGGCCUGCGCGGAAGAUGUAACGGGGGGCUAAACCAUGCACCGAAGCUGCGGCAGCGAACGUAUCACCCAAGACAACUUUACGGAGUUGACGAUUGACGGAGCGAAGCGACGUCAAAGCGUUCAUUAAAGUCGAGUUGGCUUAGGGAUACGUUCGUUGGGUAGGGGAGCGUUCUGUAAGCCUGUGAAGGUGUGUCGUGAGGCAUGCUGGAGGUAUCAGAAGUGCGAAUGCUGACAUAAGUAACGAUAAAGCGGGUGAAAAGCCCGCUCGCCGGAAGACCAAGGGUUCCUGUCCAACGUUAAUCGGGGCAGGGUGAGUCGACCCCUAAGGCGAGGCCGAAAGGCGUAGUCGAUGGGAAACGGGUUAAUAUUCCCGUACUUGGUGUUACUGCGAAGGGGGGACGGAGAAGGCUAUGUUGGCCGGGCGACGGUUGUCCCGGUUUAAGCGUGUAGGUGUGUGUUCCAGGUAAAUCCGGUUCACUUUAACACUGAGGCGUGACGACGAGGCACUACGGUGCUGAAGCAACAAAUGCCCUGCUUCCGUGGGAAAAGCCUCUAAGCAUCAGGUAACACGAAAUCGUACCCCAAACCGACACAGGUGGUCAGGUAGAGAAUACCAAGGCGCUUGAGAGAACUCGGGUGAAGGAACUAGGCAAAAUGGUGCCGUAACUUCGGGAGAAGGCACGCUGACACGUAGGUGAAGUGAUUUACUCAUGGAGCUGAAGUCAGUCGAAGAUACCAGCUGGCUGCAACUGUUUAUUAAAAACACAGCACUGUGCAAACACGAAAGUGGACGUAUACGGUGUGACGCCUGCCCGGUGCCGGAAGGUUAAUUGAUGGGGUCAGCGUAAGCGAAGCUCCUGAUCGAAGCCCCGGUAAACGGCGGCCGUAACUAUAACGGUCCUAAGGUAGCGAAAUUCCUUGUCGGGUAAGUUCCGACCUGCACGAAUGGCGUAAUGAUGGCCAGGCUGUCUCCACCCGAGACUCAGUGAAAUUGAACUCGCUGUGAAGAUGCAGUGUACCCGCGGCAAGACGGAAAGACCCCGUGAACCUUUACUAUAGCUUGACACUGAACAUUGAGCCUUGAUGUGUAGGAUAGGUGGGAGGCUUUGAAGUGUGGACGCCAGUCUGCAUGGAGCCGACCUUGAAAUACCACCCUUUAAUGUUUGAUGUUCUAACGUGGACCCGUAAUCCGGGUUGCGGACAGUGUCUGGUGGGUAGUUUGACUGGGGCGGUCUCCUCCCUAAAGAGUAACGGAGGAGCACGAAGGUUGGCUAAUCUGGUCGGACAUCAGGAGGUUAGUGCAAUGGCAUAAGCCAGCUUGACUGCGAGCGUGACGGCGCGAGCAGGUGCGAAAGCAGGUCAUAGUGAUCCGGUGGUUCUGAAUGGAAGGGCCAUCGCUCAACGGAUAAAAGGUACUCCGGGGAUAACAGGCUGAUACCGCCCAAGAGUUCAUAUCGACGGCGGUGUUUGGCACCUCGAUGUCGGCUCAUCACAUCCUGGGGCUGAAGUAGGUCCCAAGGGUAUGGCUGUUCGCCAUUUAAAGUGGUACGCGAGCUGGGUUUAGAACGUCGUGAGACAGUUCGGUCCCUAUCUGCCGUGGGCGCUGGAGAACUGAGGGGGGCUGCUCCUAGUACGAGAGGACCGGAGUGGACGCAUCACUGGUGUUCGGGUUGUCAUGCCAAUGGCACUGCCCGGUAGCUAAAUGCGGAAGAGAUAAGUGCUGAAAGCAUCUAAGCACGAAACUUGCCCCGAGAUGAGUUCUCCCUGAGACUUAGAGUCUCCUGAAGGAACGUUGAAGACGACGACGUUGAUAGGCCGGGUGUGUAAGCGCAGCGAUGCGUUGAGCUAACCGGUACUAAUGAACCGUGAGGCUUAACCUUACAACGCCGAAG
rnacentral:rRNA from 1 species